rnacentral:sRNA from 1 species
GGCUCAGCAGCCUGCGCCGCCUGGGCCUAGUCUACUUCCUCUACCUCUUCCUGUUCUCGGGCCUGGAGUACACGCUGAGCUUCCUCACACACCAGCGCUUCCAGUUCAGUAGGUGGGUCCCCAUCUGGCGACGGCCUGCUGUCUCCCUGAAAUAACGCCCCUGCUUCAGGGAAGCAACCCCCAUCCCCAGGAAGCCUUGGCAGCCACUCUCGCCCUGGCCCUGCCCUGGGUGGCCCUGCCCCGGGUGCCCUGCACUAACACACCCGCUCCCAGCCUACAGCAGGGGAAGAUGUUUUUCCUCAUCGGCCUCACCAUGGCCACCAUCCAGGGUGCCUAUGCCCGGCGGAUCCACCCUGGCGGGGAAGUUGCUGCCGUGAAGCGGGUAGGGGGCUCCCUCCAAAGCGGGUGGCAGGCAGUCCCCUGAGCCCUGCAGGGCACGGGCUGUGCUGAGGCUGCCGUGCCCACCUGCAGGCCCUCCUGCUGCUGGUGCCUGCCUUCCUCCUCAUCGGCUGGGGACGUUCUCUGCCCGUGCUGGGCCUGGGGCUGCUGCUCUACUCCUUUGCCGCCGCCGUUGUGGUGCCCUGCCUGUCCUCCGUGGUCGCUGGCUAUGGUGAGCCCCCUUUCCCUCGGCCGAAGCCACCUGAGCGGGAGAAGGGCAGUGGUGCCUGACUGUGCCUCUUCCCACAGGCUCACCAGGG